AUGAACGCUGGCGGCGUGUCUAAGGCAUGCAAGUCGAGUGGUCGCCUUUGGCGACCACGGCAAACGGGUGCGUAACACAUUGGUAACCUACCUCAAAGUUCGGCAUAACUCCGCGAAAGUGGAGAUAAUUCCGGAUGUGUUCCGGCAACGCAAGUUGCCUGAAUAAAGAUUUAUCGCUUUGAGAGGGGCCUAUGGCCUAUCAGCUAGUUGGUGAGGUAAUGGCUCACCAAGGCUACGACGGGUAGCGGGCGUGAGAGCGCGACCCGCCUCACUGGGACUGAGACACUGCCCAGACUCCUACGGGAGGCUGCAGUCAAGAAUAUUCCCCAAUGGACGAAAGUCUGAGGGAGCGACGCCGCGUGACCGAUGAAGCCCUUCGGGGUGUAAAAGUCUUUUAUUAGGGAUGAAUCAAUGACAGUACCUAAUGAAUAAGGGGCUGCUAACUUCGU
rnacentral:rRNA from 1 species